GUCUAUGGCCAUACCACCCUGAACGUGCCUGAUCUCGUCAGAACUUGGAAGCAAAGCAGGGUCGGGCCUGGUUAGUACUUGGAUGGGAGAAGUUAUGGAUGCUAAGGAUA
rnacentral:rRNA from 1 species